rnacentral:rRNA from 1 species
GAUGAACGCUAGCGGCAGGCUUAACACAUGCAAGUCGAGGGGUAUAGUUCUUCGGAGCUAGAGACCGGCGCACGGGUGCGUAACGCGUAUGCAAUCUACCUUUUGCAGAGGGAUAGCCCAGAGAAAUUUGGAUUAAUACCUCAUGGUAUGUGAGAAUGGCAUCAUUUUCACAUUAAAGUCACAACGGCAAAAGAUGAGCAUGCGUCCCAUUAGCUAGUUGGUAAGGUAACGGCUUACCAAGGCAACGAUGGGUAGGGGUCCUGAGAGGGAGACCCCCCACACUGGUACUGAGACACGGACCAGACUCCUACGGGAGGCAGCAGUGAGGAAUAUUGGACAAUGGGCGCAAGCCUGAUCAAGCCAUGCCGCGUGCAGGAUGACGGUCCUAUGGAUUGUAAACUGCUUUUGUACAGGAAGAAACACUGGUUCGUGAACCAGCUUGACGGUACUGUAAGAAUAAGGAUCGGCUAACUCCGUGCCAGCCGCCGCAGUAACAC